rnacentral:misc_RNA from 1 species
GAUGAAGAACGUAGCGAAAUGCGAUACGUAAUGUGAAUUGCAGAAUUCAGUGAAUCAUCGAGUCUUUGAACGCACAUUGCGCCCCCUGGUAUUCCGGGGGGCAUGCCUGUCCGAGCGUCAUUGCUGCCCUCAAGCACGGCUUGUGUGUUGGGCCUCCGUCCUCCUCCCGGGGGACGGGCCCGAAAGGCAGCGGCGGCACCGCGUCCGGUCCUCGAGCGUAUGGUGCUUCGUCACCCGCUCUUGUAGGCCCGGCCGGCGCUUGCCGACACAUCAAUCUUUUUUCCAGGUUGACCUCGGAUCAGGUAGGGAUACCCGCUGAACUUAAGCAUAUCAAUAAGCGGAGGA